GGUGAACCUGCGGAGGGAUAUUACUGAGUUAGCUCUACAACCCUUUGUGACUACCUAACCGUUGCUUCGGCGGGCAGGGGAAGCCUCUCGUGGGCGGACCCUCCCGGCGCCGCCCCGUCACGGGGGCGAGCGCCCGCCGAGAAACCAAACUCUAUUUACACGACGUCUCUUCUGAGUGGCACAAGCAAAUAAUUAAAACUUUUAACAACGGAUCUCUUGGUUCUGGCAUCGAUGAAGAACGCAGCGAAAUGCGAUAAGUAAUGUGAAUUGCAGAAUUCAGUGAAUCAUCGAAUCUUUGAACGCACAUUGCGCUCGCCAGCAUUCUGGCGAGCAUGCCUGUUCGAGCGUCAUUUCAACCCUCAAGCACCGCUUGGUUUUGGGGCCCCACGGCCGACGUGGGCCCUUAAAGGUAGUGGCGGACCCUCCCGGAGCCUCCUUUGCGUAGUAACUAACGUCUCGCACUGGGAUCCGGAGGGACUCUUGCCGUUAAACCCCCAAAUUUUUUCAGGUUGACCUCGGAUCAGGUGACUACCCGACGAACUUAGCAUAU
rnacentral:rRNA from 1 species